UGGUCUAGUAGCAGUGAUGGGCUUCGUC
rnacentral:sRNA from 1 species